UACAGAGGCCUCGAGCGUUAGGCGGAAUCACUGGGCUUAAAGCGUGUGUAGGCGGACUUCUAAGUGCCUUGUGAAAUCCCACGGCUCACCCGUGGAACUGCUGGGCAUACUGGGAGUCUUGAGCCACCUAGGGGCGAGCGGAACAAAUGGUGGAGCGGUGAAAUGCGUAGAUAUCAUUUGGAACGCCAGCGGAGAAAUCAGCUCGCUGGGGGUGUGCUGACGCUGAGACACGAAAGCCAGGGGAGCGAACGGG
rnacentral:rRNA from 1 species